UAAGGAAUAUUGGUCAAUGGACGAAAGUCUGAACCAGCCAUGCCGCGUGAAGGAUGAAGGCCCUCUGGGUUGUAAACUUCUUUUAUAGGGGACGAAAAAAGGUCAUUCUUGAUCACUUGACGGUACCCUAGGAAUAAGCACCGGCUAACUCCGUGCCAGCAGCCGCGGUAAUACGGAGGGUGCAAGCGUUAUCCGGAUUUACUGGGUUUAAAGGGUGCGUAGGUGGGCAGUUAAGUCAGUGGUGAAAUCUCCGAGCUUAACUCGGAAACUGCCAUUGAUACUAUCUGUCUUGAAUAUCCUGGAGGUGAGCGGAAUAUGUCAUGUAGCGGUGAAAUGCUUAGAUAUGACAUAGAACACCAAUUGCGAAGGCAGCUCACUACGGGGUUAUUGACACUGAGGCACGAAAGCGUGGGGAUCAAACA
rnacentral:rRNA from 1 species